GACGAACGCUGGCGGCGUGCUUAACACAUGCAAGUCGAACGGAAAGGCCCUGCUUUUGUGGGGUGCUCGAGUGGCGAACGGGUGAGUAACACGUGAGUAACCUGCCCUUGACUUUGGGAUAACUUCAGGAAACUGGGGCUAAUACCGGAUAGGAGCUCCUGCUGCAUGGUGGGGGUUGGAAAGUUUCGGCGGUUGGGGAUGGACUCGCGGCUUAUCAGCUUGUUGGUGGGGUAGUGGCUUACCAAGGCUUUGACGGGUAGCCGGCCUGGGAGGGUGACCGGCCACAUUGGGACUGAGAUACGGCCCAGACUCCUACGGGAGGCAGCAGUGGGGAAUAUUGCACAAUGGGCGGAAGCCUGAUGCAGCAACGCCGCGUGCGGGAUGACGGCCUCCGGGUUGUAAACCGCUUUCGCCUGUGACGAAGCGUGAGUGACGGUAAUGGGUAAAGAAGCACCGGCUAACUACGUG
rnacentral:rRNA from 1 species